rnacentral:pre_miRNA from 1 species
GUUUUUUUAGGUUUUGAUUUUUUGUAGCAUUGGAUGAGAAAAUCAAAGCCUAAAGAAAAUA